CAGUGAAAUACAGAAGGUACAGCAUACUGUAGAACAGCUCGUUUCCAGCACACAUGGUGAAGAGAACCGGCUAGGAUACAAGCAAGAAACAAUGGAAAGAUAUCAAAGGCGACGUCCUGAAGAGAUCACAAGAGGGCGGAGAUGACGAUGAAUGACGACACCGAUAAUUAACUGAUAAUCAUGCUGCAUUGCCUCCCCAACAACGCGGUCCUCUCUCAACACUCGGCAACCUUGGCAGCUUCCACUUCAAGAUGUCAGCUGACGUCACUGCCUUCCAAACCCGUUAAGUUUCACGUGUGGGUCACCGACUGUGGUCUCCCCGGGGCUGGUUACAGCAGCCUUCAACCAUGGACAGAUAUCACAGGGUUACCCUCAUCGUCGUUACAAAUGCAGCACGAAGGUUCCAAUUCCAAUCUGGAAUUUGAACUGUUCAAGAGGACGUGGUCACUUCCGUCUGGUCACACAUCGAGGGGCACUGUCGUGACCCCGUUUGACUUUUGACCCCCAAAACCUCCACGGCUGAACACAAACGGCAUGGACACGCAUUUGCACUUCAUUCGACAUGGCCACAAUUGGAAAAAUCAAGGCCCUUUUUAUUUUGGAUUCAACAGGAAUUUCAGAACAAACAUACAGAGGCAGCAGCAUGUAUUAUCAGAUUUUAUUACAAAGUGGUUUUUACCGAGUGUACAAAGUCAAAAUAUUUGUCGUUCUUCCUUCCAACAACCUGUAAUUUAAUCAUUUUUGUCCAUGUGCCGAAUCCACCUAAUUUUCCUUGCGUGCAAAUAGUUCAGAAUUCUUAGAAUGCAUCAGUGCUGUUUAAAGCAACGACAACCAACAAGUUUGCGAAGUUAUCAACCUUUUGACAUCGUGUGCCAUCACGUAAGGUCUCGUUCAUUGCCCAAGUCUAGAAUUCCUGUACAAGUUGAAGUUACUCAAGAAGUUAGAACUGUUACAAUUCGAUUGACCUCAGUUGACCUCACUUUAAUUUGUCUCAUGAAAUAUAAACCACUUGAGCAGUAACCAAUACCUACCAAGUUUAUUGCACAAAGAUAACAAGUGCAUGUGUAUGUAUACCGUUUGGUACGUGUAAGUAACACUUGAACUAAGGGUUGAUGCUGAUCUCAAAAUAAGGUUUAUUGGUAGACAUGUUACUUGUUUUUUAAAUGGAAGAGCAUGUGGAAAAAUAGAAAUAUUAUUUUGGUGCGUUGGACAGCUUGAGCUGAAUUUGUGUGCGGAGAUUUUCUUUGGCGCUUGUCAACACACAGCUCAAUUCUGUGCGCUUGGUUUGAAGAAUUAGAAUAAGAUUGGAUGUUGAAUUGAAAAGA